UCAAAGGGAGGGUAUGGCUAAGUUUAGUUUACUUAGGGUGCAUCUCCACAUGAAGCUACAUUGCUAUAGCAAUGUGCUAUGGAAAUGUAGCAUCCGUGGGC